CCGGUGGCGGAUGGGCAUGCGGCGCAUUAGCUAGUCGGCGGGGUAACGGCCCACCGAGGCGACGAUGCGUAGGGGUUCUGAGAGGAAGGUCCCCCACACUGGUACUGAGACACGGACCAGACUCCUACGGGAGGCAGCAGUGAGGAAUAUUGGUCAAUGGGCGCGAGCCUGAACCAGCCAAGUCGCGUGAGGGAUGACGGUCCUACGGAUUGUAAACCUCUUUUGCCGGGGAGCAAGCGUGCGUUCGUGAACGCGCGUCGAGAGUACCCGGAGAAAAAGCAUCGGCUAACUCCGUGCCAGCAGCCGCGGUAAUACGGAGGAUGCGAGCGUUAUCCGGAUUUAUUGGGUUUAAAGGGUGCGUAGGCGGGAUGCCAAGUCAGCGGUAAAAAUGCGGUGCUCAACGCCGUCGAGCCGUUGAAACUGGCGUUCUUGAGUGGGCGAGAAGUAUGCGGCAUGCGUGGUGUAGCGGUGAAAUGCAUAGAUAUCACGCAGAACUCCGAUUGCGAAGGCAGCAUACCGGCGCCCUACUGACGCUGAGGCACGAAAGCGUGGGUAUCGAACAGGAUUAGAUACCCUGGUAGUCCACGCAGUAAACGAUGAAUGCUAACUGUCCGGCUCGAAUGAGCGCUGG
rnacentral:rRNA from 1 species